ACUAAAUUAGAGUAAUUGAUCAAAUCUAAUCAAAAGUUGAUUUAGAUUAGGUCAAGGAUACUCUAUACUCAACUCCAAUAGUUGUAGUUGAAUGGGUCCAUAUCUUUAACUAGACCAAGAUGGACUUAAUUCAUGGCUAUGCGGUGGAACCCUAUUUACUAAGUUGAUCAAAUUAAAACUAAUGAACCGGUUGGUGUCUAAGGUA
rnacentral:lncRNA from 1 species